AGUGAACGCUGGCGGUAGGCCUAACACAUGCAAGUCGAACGGCAGCACAGUAAGAGCUUGCUCUUACGGGUGGCGAGUGGCGGACGGGUGAGGAAUACAUCGGAAUCUACUUUUUCGUGGGGGAUAACGUAGGGAAACUUACGCUAAUACCGCAUACGACCUACGGGUGAAAGCAGGGGAUCUUCGGACCUUGCGCGAUUGAAUGAGCCGAUGUCGGAUUAGCUAGUUGGCGGGGUAAAGGCCCACCAAGGCGACGAUCCGUAGCUGGUCUGAGAGGAUGAUCAGCCACACUGGAACUGAGACACGGUCCAGACUCCUAAGGGAGGCAGCAGUGGGGAAUAUUAGACAAUGGGCGCAAGCCUGAUCCAGCCAUACCGCGUGGGUGAAGAAGGCCUUCGGGUUGUAAAGCCCUUUUGUUGGGAAAGAAAAGCAGCAGGUUAAUACCCCGCUGUUCUGACGGUACCCAAAGAAUAAGCACCGGCUAACUUCGUG
rnacentral:rRNA from 1 species